AAAAAAUUAGUUAAAAUAUAAUAUUAAAAUGUCAUUUUAAAGUUAUUAAAAAUGUUAAUAUUUUUUA
rnacentral:tRNA from 1 species